GGAACCAGCUGUGAAAACACAGAAGCAAGAUAGAAAGAAAAGUGAAGAAAAUUUGCAGAUUGAUUUGUUACAGACAGGCACGUACAGCAUUAGAAAAAAUGAAAGCAAACCAGGAAGAUAAACCCAGGUUUGAGGAAGGAUUAGAAAAAAUGAGGAGAACAGAUAAUAAAUAGAAAUAAAAGCAGAAGUAGAGGCUAUGGAAGAAGAAAUAGAAGAGAAAAUGAAAGAAUUAGGAAAAAUAUGCAAGAGGUCAAUAAAUUAGAAAGAGGGAUAAGUAAGUUGUUUGACAGUAAUGAGGAUAUACAUAAAGCAGAUGAGUUAUUUGAUAACAGAAAAUGGGAAAAGGGCAGAGAAAAGGGGACAUUCAGACCACUGGCUGCACAACUCCCAAUUUUAAUCAAGGGUGGGCAGGGACAGUAAGUCCCCUGGGCUUCACAGGACCUUGAUGGGCUGGCCAAUCGCCUCCCAGAUAUUCACGAGGGGGCUGGAAAGUGGAUCAGGGUGUUUGAGGAACAAACUAUGGGCAAAUUUUUGGCUGUGAGAGACAUUAAAGCUUUGCUGGCUAAAAUUGUAGGAGGGACAAAGAUGGAUGAAAUUCUUCAAACAACUACUCUAAACAGAGCAGUGAACUCUCACAAUAUGGAUGGGAUUGUUUUGAUGCAUUCGGUCCAGCAGUGUGGCAGGCACUGCGUGCGGAGUACCCGAUCAGACUGAAUCCUAAAAUCACUGAAGAGACAAGAGCUGGGAAACACAGAAAAUCCAACCACAUAAGUUCAGAAACAGCUGAAAAGAUGGAAGCAAGAAACUGAGGGGGAUCCAAAAAGACACCCAUUAAUGGCAACAUUGUUUAGCCCACUUACAACAAUCCCUCCAAACGCACACCCGAUCCCUGUGUCCAUAAUUAAUGUUUAUACUCAACAGCCAGGACAAUGGGAGAGAGAAAGAAACCCAUACAGCGAGGCCAGAGAGGAAGAGAAUUAUACUGGUCCUCCAGGUGUGUGCUGGGCAGAUGGAACAGCCCGGACAUAAUAAAAAUGACUAUCCCACCUAUCCACCUUAAAAGUACCCUCAGUGUGGAAGGGAGAGAGCUGGCGACAGCCUAACCAAGGUCCAGUACAGGGCCCAGUAUCCCCUUGGAGAGGUCCCAAUUCAGGUUAUUAGGGGUGCCCAGAGAAUCCUACAGGGGAGAGUCAGCUUUCAAUUUUAAUAACUAAAGCUGAUCAAGAGCCUAUUAUGCAAAUUAAAAUAGAAGGAAAAACACACCCAUGAUUUUAUACACAGGUGUUUUUUUUAUACCUGUUUAAAUUUAAAAUAUGCCUCACAUCUCCUCUUGUCUGGAAAAAUUUGCAAAGACAAUAGGAUUCCCA
ensembl:lncRNA